ACCAGUUACUAAUGAUUUACCAACUGCCACUGGGAUGGGGCAUUCAUAGAGGAAAGCCUAUUUUUUUUCCUUUGGACAUCUGCACCUCAGAUCAUCAGGCAUUCGAUCUCAGACAUUGGGGACCUCUGGACUAGACUCUGGAAUCCCCACUGAGAGACGAAGAUGCAGACAUUGAGGCUGACAUACUGACGUUCAGCCUGGAGACCCUCCCUCUGCCGACCCCAGCUGCAGCUUUAUCUGUUCAGCUGUCCAUUAUGACGGUAAAAUUACAACCUAAUGGUGUCUGCGCUGCUGCUCCUGUGACCACCAUCUGCCUGUGUCACGUCGUGAAUUCUCUCCUCAGUUGUAUUUUUGUGAGCGUGACACUCUUAUGGAGGCUCUCAGAGGCCACCUGGAGCAGUGUUUUAUGAUCUGGACUUUCCCACCCAUGUAGCUGAGGAAGGAGCCGUGUGAAAUUUCCAAAGCAGCCACUUCCUUGACAUAAGAGAAAAGUGGUAUCAGACACUCACACCUUAUGGCACUGCACGGUGGUUAAAACAGGUGCAUAAAAGGUGCCGUUCCAGAAAACCAGUUUGACGUUAAUUUAGGCGCACAGGUGAUCCAUCCUGAACUGUCUACUUCCCAAAUCAUUGUUUAAAAUGACUACCUGGAGCUUGAGAGUAGAUGCGUGUUUCUUUCUACCACUCCAUUUGCUUUUCACUCCAGUGUAAAGCCACGGUGGUCGCUAUUCUGUAAUUAUACUCUUCUACCAAAUGGCUGGCGUGAUCAAACUCAGUAUCCACUUUUAUCUGAAUAAGUUGUGAAGUUUACUGGAAGAAGAUUUUGGAAAUUUUCUGUGAUGAUUUAAGGAACAGAAUAGA